AGUUGAUGUAGUUUGCAGCAGAGGUGAGCUGGUGAUACCGGCUAACAGCGCCUUGGAGAGGAGUUCAGUGAUGCAAUCGAUCAGAGAGGACGUCUUCUGUAUGCAUGGAGACGUGGAGGCUGCCUUGCUCCCUCAGGACAGAAACAAAACCCUGAUGAACAGGGGACAGUUUAAUGGGACGGAGACAGACAGCUCUGCAGCUGGCAGGGAUUAAAGAUGGGAUACAGUGUGCACAGUAUAAGAGUAAUAAUCAUUAGUGCUGUUAUCAUAUAAAGUGAGUGUGUGAAGACAAUGACACUGAGGAUGAAAACACAGACACAAUCGCUCUGUGCACUGAGUAAAGACAAACAGACACAAUCACCAGACAGCCUGCAGGAAAAGAAAACAUUGAUUGAUGGAUUUUCUGUGAGAUCUACACUCCAACAACACUCUAGGUGUAGUGUCAAGGAGGAUCCUCAAACAGCCGAAUUUGAAGGACGUUAUGCCAUCCACCUCCGCCGAAGGAAGGAUCUUUGAACAGCUGACUGUCAGUGAGGCAUCGAGUUCUGCCAAAGGAUUGUUCCAGUGUCAAGGACCCUUCGAAUCCUCCCAAGGACCAAGUCCUUCCUUCAGAGAACUUUCAAGGAUGCAUGUCUGUAUGCUCAGCGGACAUGAAGUAUCCAUGUUAACCCAUGAGGUGUCAUUGAGGGCGGGGCCUCUCCAAUGACUCACCGGGACACUCGUUCACCUGUUCCAGUGUGUGUUCACUGAAUGUUAGGAAGGAGUCUUGCCGAGCCUCAGUAGGACCCUACCUGAAAGGACCCCUCCUACCAAGGAGGCAUCCUGGACUUUAAGAAGCACUGAGUGUCGGCUGCAGUGAGUUCAAACGUCUGUUUUCAUUGGUACGUUACACCUCCUGCUCUGCCCUCGGGUUAUAUCUCCAACCCUGUUUUUUAUUACAUUUAAUCUCACAGUUGAAGUGAACCUGAACAAACUUGAGGACUGUUGAUUUAUUGAACAUCUUUAUAUCUUAUAGCUCUGAAAUGAUGUGACCUUAGAUGGAUCAGUUAUGUUCGUAUAUAACUGAGAGUUAGAAAUGUUGAACUGAAACACAAAUUUAAAAAUACAACAGUAAAACAUUUAUGUUGAACAUAACUUUCCCAUUAAACAUGUUUCAUUAGUUUUCACACCAACUCAAGCAUGAUUAAGUUUAUAAUGGUGAUGUUUCAUCAGCUGACAACACUUGGUAAAGUUUAGGGACAGUUGUUGUUGAGUCAUGAUGUAAUAAUGUUGAUUCGUCAGAUGGGACAUGAACCUGUUGCCUUUAGUGUUUAAUCUGUCACCUGACGCUAACCCUAACUGACCUCCACUCUACAACUGUGGGCUGCAGAAUGAACGUUUCCUGACUAACAGUAAGCUUCAGCCAAAUCAGACGUUUUAAAAUGGGUGUUAUUAUUCAUAGGAGACAAAGUUGAUGUUAUCACUGUUACUGUAACUGUACCAAUAGUUAGAGUAACCAUGACCUCCUCAAUCUGUCGCUGUCAGUGUCCUGAUGACUGAACUGAGACUAACAGACUUAUUUAUGUUGUCUGUAUCAGUUUGUGUUUGUCUUCACUUGGUCAGUUUAAUAUUAUUGUUUCUGCCUCGUCACCUUAUUCCCCUCACCUGAGCUCCUGCAGCACCUGCACUCCAUCUCCUCAUCAGACCGGUCUGUAUUUAAGACCUGAGGCCUCAGCACUACGAAGCCAGUUCAAGUUACCCAGGAUAUCUUCUCGAUGAUUAUGAAACUUGUCUGAAUAUGUCACAUAAACACUUUAGAGUAACACCAGACUGUUUCUGCUGCUGAAGCAAAGAGUGGGGAAGUAGUUAAUGACUGAUGAGGUCUGUCUGACUGACAUGUGACAUUUAUAAUAACAGGAGCUGAUUAACAGUGUGUGGAUUA